CCGGGACCAUCCGGUAAGGCUAAAUACUCCCGAGAGACCGAUAGCGAACCAGUACCGUGAGGGAAAGGUGAAAAGCACUUCGAACAGAAGAGUGAAAUAGUUCCUGAAACCGUGCGCCUACAAGCGGUCGGAGCUCGUUAAUGAGUGACGGCGUGCCUUUUGCAUAAUGAACCUACGAGUUGCCUUUGCCGGCAAGGUUAAGUGUGACGACACACGUAUCCGAAGCGAAAGCGAGUCUGAAGAGGGCGUAUAGUCGGCAGUGGCAGACGCGAAACCAAGUGAUCUACCCUUGGCCAGGUUGAAGGCUGGGUAACACCAGCUGGAGGACCGCACCAAUAAGCGUUGAAAAGCUUCUGGAUGAGCUGAGGGUAGGGGUGAAAGGCUAAUCAAACUUGGAGAUAGCUCGUACUCCCCGAAAUGCAUUUAGGUGCAGCCUUGGGAAUUACUACUGUGAGGUAGAGCGACUGAUAAGAUGCGAGGGCUUCACCGCCUAUCAAGUCUUGAUAAACUCCGAAUGCGCAGUAGUUCGAUCCCAGGAGUGAGGGCAUGGGUGCUAAGGUCCAUGUCCUAAAGGAGAAGAAUCCAGACCAUCAGCUAAGGUCCCCAAAUAAACACUAAGUUGAACUAACGAAGUCAGAUUGCUAAGACAGCUAGGAUGUUGGCUUGGAAGCAGCCAUUCAUUUAAAGAGUGCGUAACAGCUCACUAGUCGAGGAGUUUGGCGUGGAUAAUAAUCGGGCAUUAAGCAAUUUACCGAAGCUAUGGGAUCCGUAAGGAUCGGUAGGGGAGCAUUCCACUCUGCGUCGAAGGUGAAGCGUGAGCUUUGCUGGAGCGUGUGGAAAAGCAAAUGUAGGUAUAAGUAACGAUAAAGGGGGUGAGAAACCCCCUCGCCGAAAGACUAAGGUUUCCUGAUCAACGCUAAUCGGAUCAGGGUCAGUCGGGUCCUAAGGCUCAGCCGAACGGCGAUGCCGAUGGCAGAAACGGUUAAUAUUCCGUUACUACCUUCAGGAGUGACGUGGAGACGCAGUAGUGACAGUGCCGCCAUCUGACGGAAUAGAUGGUUGAAGGGUGUAGGAGUCGAUCAUGGCAGGCAAAUCCACCAUGAGAUCCGAACCUGAUAGUAUGCCGCGUCCUUCGGGACAAGGCAAUAGUGCGCGUAAGCAUGCUGCCGAGAAAAUCCGCUAAACUUAAUCCUGCAGGUACCCGUACCGCAAACGGACACACGUAGUCGGGUUGAAUAUACUAAGGCGCUUGAGUGAUUCACGGUUAAGGAACUAGGCAAACUGACCCUGUAACUUCGGGAUAAAGGGUCCUCGCUUUACGGCGAGGCGCAGAGAAUAGGUCCAGGCAACUGUUUAACAAAAACACAGGGCUGUGCAAAAUUGAAAGAUCACGUAUACAGCCUGACACCUGCCCGGUGCUGGAAGGUUAAGAGGAGAUGUCAUCGCGAGAGAAGCGUUGAAUUGAAGCCCCAGUAAACGGCGGCCGUAACUAUAACGGUCCUAAGGUAGCGAAAUUCCUUGUCGGGUAAGUUCCGACCUGCACGAAUGGUGUAAUGAUCUGGACACUGUCUCAACCGUGAGCUCAGUGAAAUUGUAGUAUCGGUGAAGAUGCCGAUUACCCGCGAUGGGACGAAAAGACCCCGUGAACCUUUACUAUAGCUUAUCAUUGAAUCUGGGCACGUGAUGUGUAGGAUAGGUCGGAGGCUUUGAAGCAGGUACGCCAGUAUUUGUGGAGCCGCUGUUGAAAUACGACCCUUUAUUUGUUUGGAUUCUAACCCGUGGUACGGGGACAUUGAUUGGUGGGUAGUUUGACUGGGGUGGUCGCCUCCAAAAGCGUAACGGAGGCUUCUAAAGGUGCCCUCACGCCGAUUGGUAACCGGCGGUAGAGUGUAAUGGCAUAAGGGCGCUUGACUGGGAGACUUACAAGUCGAUCAGGUAG
rnacentral:rRNA from 1 species